ACCUAGGAGUAGCACAGUUGGUAGAUCAUGAGAUUCUUAAUCUCAUGGGUUGUGGGUUCAAGUCUCAUGUUGGGCA